rnacentral:rRNA from 1 species
UCGAGGAUCUUCGUCAAUGGGGGCAACCCUGAACGAGCGAUGCCGCGUGUGCGAUGAAGGCCUUCGGGUUGUAAAGCACUGUCGAGGGGGAGAAAGGGAAACUUGAUCUAUCCCUGGAGGAAGCUCGGGCUAAGUUCGUGCCAGCAGCCGCGGUAAGACGAACCGAGCGAACGUUGUUCGGAAUCACUGGGCUUAAAGGGCGCGUAGGCGGGCUGCCAAGUCUGCGGUGAAAUCCUCCAGCUUAACUGGAGAACGGCCGCGGAUACUGGCGGUCUCGAGGGAGGUAGGGGCAAGCGGAACUGUGCGUGGAGCGGUGAAAUGCGUUGAUAUGCACAGGAACUCCGGUGGCGAAGGCGGCUUGCUGGACCUCUUCUGACGCUGAGGCGCGAAAGCUAGGGGAGCGAACGGGAUUAGAUACCCAAGUAGUCCCUGAGCGGGCUGGCAAGGCGCAU